rnacentral:rRNA from 1 species
GACGAACGCUGGCGGCGUGCUUAACACAUGCAAGUCGAACGGAAAGGCCCUGCUUUUGUGGGGUGCUCGAGUGGCGAACGGGUGAGUAACACGUGAGUAACCUGCCCUUGACUUUGGGACAACUUCAGGAAACUGGGGCUAAUACCGGAUAGGAGCUCCUGCUGCAUGGUGGGGGUUGGAAAGUUUCGGCGGUUGGGGAUGGACUCGCGGCUUAUCAGCUUGUUGGUGGGGUAGUGGCCUACCAAGGCUUUGACGGGUAGCCGGCCUGAGAGGGUGACCGGCCACAUUGGGACUGAGAUACGGCCCAGACUCCUACGGGAGGCAGCAGUGGGGAAUAUUGCACAAUGGGCGGAAGCCUGAUGCAGCAACGCCGCGUGCGGGAUGACGGCCUUCGGGUUGUAAACCGCUUUCGCCUGUGACGAAGCGUGAGUGACGGUAAUGGGUAAAGAAGCACCGGCUAACUACGUG